UGGCUGUGCCCUUGAGCUGUCCCGACGGACAGAGCUUUAGUGGCAACUCAUGUGCCCCUGACGCAAGCUGUGGUUUCGUCGAGCAGACAACCAUCGCCAUGAGUCCAGCCGAAAUGUGCCAGAUCAAGGGCAUGAAGCCGUAUCCAGGGGAUAACACGAUGUACAUUUCCAUGCACGCUGGUGCAGUGGAGGUGGAGAUGCCGUGUCCCCCGGGCACCGUCUUUGACGAGACCUGCUCCUGUACAUAAGGCAGAUAAUUGUUGAGUAGCACAUAACAGCCUGACCGUGAUAUAGGCAUAAAACCAUCGUUGAAGAUUACAUGUGCUAGCCAAAGAACUGAAAUGUCGUCUUCUCUAUAAAUGUUUUAUAAGUUGUUUAAUUUAUUAAAGUGCUUUGAA